UACAGAGGGUGCGAGCGUUGUCCGGAAUCACUGGGCGUAAAGGGCGCGUAGGUGGCGACCCAAGUCGAUGGUGAAAGCUCGCCGCUCAACGGCGAGUCGGCCACCGAUACUGGGUUGCUGGAGCACUGUAGAGGCAGAUGGAAUUCCGGGUGUAGCGGUGGAAUGCGUAGAGAUCCGGAAGAACACCGGUGGCGAAGGCGGUCUGCUGGGCAGUUGCUGGACACUGAGGCGC
rnacentral:rRNA from 1 species